AUGAACGCUGGCGGCGUGCCUAAUCCAUGCAAGUCGAGCGAACAGACGAGGAGCUUGCUCCUCUGACGUUAGCGGCGGACGGGUGAGUAACACGUGGAUAACCUACCUAUAAGACUGGGAUAACUUCGGGAAACCGGAGCUAAUACCGGAUAAUAUAUUGAACCGCAUGGUUCAAUAGUGAAAGACGGUUUUGCUGUCACUUAUAGAUGGAUCCGCGCCGCAUUAGCUAGUUGGCAAGGUAACGGCUUACCAAGGCAACGAUGCGUAGCCGACCUGAGAGGGUGAUCGGCCACACUGGAACUGAGACACGGUCCAGACUCCUACGGGAGGCAGCAGUAGGGAAUCUUCCGCAAUGGGCGAAAGCCUGACGGAGCAACGCCGCGUGAGUGAUGAAGGUCUUCGGAUCGUAAAACUCUGUUAUUAGGGAAGAACAAAUGUGUAAGUAACUAUGCACGUCUUGACGGUACCUAAUCAGAAAGCCACGGCUAACUACGUG
rnacentral:rRNA from 1 species